rnacentral:rRNA from 1 species
GUACGGUGCGGAACACGUGUGUAACCUGCCUUUAAUCUGGGGGGAUUAGCCUUUCGAAAGGAAGAUUAAUACUCCAUAAUAUAUUGAACGGCAUCGUUUAAUAUUGAAAGCUCCGGCGGAUAGAGAUGGGCACGCGCAAGAUUAGCUAGUUGGUGAGGUAACGGCUCACCAAGGCGAUGAUCUUUAGGGGGCCUGAGAGGGUGAUCCCCCACACUGGUACUGAGACACGGACCAGGACUCCUACGGGAGGCAGCAGUGAGGAAUAUUGGUCAAUGGGUGCAAGCCUGAACCAGCCAUCCCGCGUGAAGGACGACUGCCCUAUGGGUUGUAAACUUCUUUUGUAUAGGGAUAAACCUACCCUCGUGAGGGUAGCUGAAGGUACUAUACGAAUAAGCACCGGCUAACUCCGUG